CUCUGGUGAUGAUACGAUGACGAGUCGGAGGGGUCCCUGCCUCUGUGGGUGGAGUCACGUUCUGUGGCCCUUCUGCAGAGCAGGGCCAGAGACCUGAAGACCCUGAGGCAUUUGUCUGAGGAGG
rnacentral:snoRNA from 1 species